CUCCUCUUCUGCCUGCAGGAGGACGGAGAGCGGCUCCGGGCUGCACAAAGGCGGCCGCUCCCCGCCGGGCGGGCGCGGGGGCUGCGGCGCGGUGCGGGCGCAUCAGCCGCGGCGGCGGGGGGGGCUCGGCCGCUGUCACCCAGCGCCCGCGGGGACCAGCGCCGGCGGCGGGGACAACCCCACCCUGCGGCCCCGCGGCUCCUCGUAACAAAGCGCCUCUCGCCUCCCUCCCUCCCUCCCUGCUUCCCCGCCUCCCUCAGCUCCCCGCCCGCAGGCCGCCGACACCGCUCCCUCCAGCUCCCCGCAAACCCCGCGCUGGAUUCCCGCCCGCCGCGGCGCCGGCCUCUCCCGCGGGGGACACUGCUGUGCCACGGGGACACCGCUGUGUUCCGCGGGGACACCGCCGUGUGCCGCGGGAACACCCGGCCCGGGCGGUCCUACGCCCGCAGGUGCGACGGAGCUGUCGGAGGCGGCCGCGGGAAAUGCGCGUGUGUCCGUUGUGGGGAGCGGCGUGCGAACACCCGGCGGCCGCCAGGAAGGGGGUGGGCAGCUCCUCCUGCACCGGACACAGCCCGAGUUCCUGGGACGCACGUCCCUAGCGCGGCGUGCCCAUCCGCAUCCCGCUCCCGGGACCCCGGAGCGGAGCGGGGAUUCCCCAAUCCCCACCCCGGUGCGGCGGCUGCGGACCCAGCUCGGGCUUUACCUCCGACAGCGCCCGGCGGCCCGCGCGCCUGCGCGCCAGCGCCCCCAGCGGCAGCCGCGGGAAGAGCCGGGAGCUGUCGCGGCCGCCCCGCUCCCGUUCCCGAUCCCGUUCCCGUUCCCGUCCCCGCCCGCCGGUACCACGCAGUGCCGUGCCCGGCCCGGCCGGGCUCCCGCCACCCCUCCGUGCCUCAUCGCGAGCGGGUCGGUGGUAGGUGCCAGUGCGGCACCAGGGAGCGCCCUCAGCUCCUCCGGGCUCCGGACGCUGCCCGGCCCGCCGGUGAGUUGUGGGCAGCGGCGGCCCGGCGGUCUGCCGGCUCCGGCGGGAGCAGCGUCUGUGUCCGCCCCAGCGGGACUGGAAGUGCCGGGAAGGGCGCUCUGCCGCCUGCGCCGCUCCUGGCGUGGGGUUCGGAGCUUCGGGGCCUUCCUGCUUCCCUUCCUUCGCUCCAUUCCCUCCCUCCCUUACUUCCUCCCCCUUCCCUUGGCCGCCGCGGGCCGGGUGGGAGCGUGUCCUCCUUGCCGGACCCCGCCUGUGCCGCCUGUUCCCCAGGCACACCCCCGGCACUGCGGGCUGGCCGUUCCCAAUGUCUGUGUCAUCUGUCCCAGCCCGUGCGCACAGUCCUGUCCCAGGAAAGAAGGGGGAAGCUUGAAAUGCCCCGGAUUCGUUUUUGUUUCAUUAGUUUUUGUUUCAUUAGUUUAUGUUCUGCGUCAUCUUUUGGUGACGUUAAUAUUUCCCGAGGGAAGCUCGUGGAGAACAGUUGUUUCUUUCCAUGCUGUAGUUUUGCUCUCGAGUUGAAAAUAGGAUCAUUAGCCUGGGAAGUUAAAGGUUGA
rnacentral:lncRNA from 1 species